GCACUGAGGACACUCAGCCAUAGGGCCUAGGAAAUAGGAGCAACAAAUGGGGUCCCGGCACACAGGAUCAGGGACAGCUUAGGUCCCGUGAACACAGAAUUAGAGUCUGCAGGUGGCUACCAACCUGCUGGGGCCACAGCAGGACCUUGGGCAGGCAGCAAGGUGGCCAGGUUCUACCACUGAUCCUCAACACCCUGCUCAGGGCCAGGAUAGGAAUUGGCUUCCAGGGCAUGGCCAGCCUCCGUCCCGCUCUGUGCUUUGCAAUUACUUCCAAUAUUACAUAGUUAUUCAGCAAUUGUGACUCUACAAAACCAGUUACCGAAAGUUUCCUAGUUCUGCCUUGGUCAUUUGUUCUACUGCCUAAUAACGUCUCUAUCUGGUAAGUUCUUCCUAUGAUCUAAUUCAUUAUAGAAGCUUAUUUUUACCCCCAAACCAUUAAGAUUUCCCCAUAC
rnacentral:lncRNA from 1 species